rnacentral:rRNA from 1 species
CGUAGGGGCAAGCGUUAUCCGGAUUUACUGGGUGUAAAGGGAGCGUAGACGGACGGGCAAGUCUGAAGUGAAAGGCAGGGGCUCAACCCCUGGACUGCUUUGGAAACUGUCCAUCUAGAGUGCCGGAGAGGUAAGCGGAAUUCCUAGUGUAGCGGUGAAAUGCGUAGAUAUUAGGAGGAACACCAGUGGCGAAGGCGGCUUACUGGACGGUAACUGACGUUGAGGCUCGAAAGCGUGGGGAGCAAACAGGAUU